GAAGAGUCAGUGCCUAGAGGAGCUGCUUGCAGGAAACAUCAAGGAGGGAGCCAGGUGAGCCACAGCAAGGUCUGUGGCUCUGAGGGAUGUUAUCCAGCACAGGUCAAACAGAAGAAGCAGGCAUUCACCAAACUCCUGGAAUUUGUGGAGACACAAGAAUAUCCACAUUCCCAGCACUCUGCUGCCAUUGGUGAGCAUCCUCCUGGCAAGUGUGAUCAGGUACAGGAACCAGGAGAGAGAUCUGAGCCACUUGACCAAAAAGCAGAGAAGGGCUGAGAUUGUCCUUCCUUAGCUCUGCCUCAGAGACUCACAGCAGGCCUGGGUCUGACUUUAAUGAUUAGAGAGAGAAGCAUUUCAGCAAUGGCAAUAGCACUCUCCAAUUCUAACUAGUACUCCGUUUCUGAGGUUUUUUCCCAGCAGUGCCUUUGUGAGAGGUGACAUCUCCUGCCCCCUCAGGGAUCAAUCCCCUCCCUCGACAGAAAUAACACAACUUGCCCAGAAUUUGAAGCAUUUUCAUUUAAAGAUGGAAUUUCCUCUUCAUCCUUAAAUCUCACGGACACCAAUUGCUGAUAACAGCUGAGCCUUUGAAAUGACUCCUCAUUCCCGUUUGCCACACUCCAAGUCUGAUAGAUUAAAAAAACCCCGAAAGUACUCAGUAGGACAUUUCAGUGUUUCCCCGUGCCGUACUAGAACAUUUUAAUGAGAAAUUAGAAGUAAGAAGGAGGUGGGGGAAGGCUCUGUACAGCCCCCACUGUCCGGCCUUGACCGAGCUGCUGUCCCGAGCCGCCUCCCCUCAGCGGCGCUGAUAGCGCUGCCCCGAGCACUGGCGAUUUACGAGACAACUGUUCUAGGACAAAACACACACUCGUGCCGAAGCACAUCAGAGAUAAAGCCUGGACUUAGUUAGAAACUGCAGCGGUGAUUGUUCCCCGAGCUGAGGCGAAGCAGCGCAGCUCUGAGGGAAGAGCUCCGCGUCCGCCCCGAGCAGCGGCAGUGCCGAGGCAGCGCCUCGUGGCUGGGUUCGCUUCCAGCUGCUGAGGGAAAAACUUCUUGCGAGGGCGUUCUCGGUGCUCUGCAGCUCCGAAGGGGAAGCCUCUGCCCUGAGCAGACCCUGCAGUGUCCAACAUGGGCACUUCCAGGAGCACAGGAUCUGCCACGGAGCCCUCCGGCCGGCGGCUCAGGGACAGCCAAGCCCGGGCUGUGAGGACAGCCCAGGGCGUUGGCUCAGUGAUUUCACUCCUCACUGCUUGGUUUUGC